GGGGGUAUGGCGCAGUUGGGAGCGCGCUUGACUGGCAGUCAAGAGGUCAUGGGUUCAAGUCCCAUUAUCUCCACCA
rnacentral:tRNA from 1 species